rnacentral:rRNA from 1 species
AUUGAACGCUGGCGGCAUGCUUUACACAUGCACGUCGGACGAGUGGCGAACGGGUGAGUAACGCAUCGGAACGUACCGAGUAAUGGGGGAUAACUGUCCGAAAGGACAGCUAAUAACGCAUCUUAUGCGAGCGGCCGCUGUCUGAUUAGCUGGUUGGCGGGGUAAAGGCCCACAAAGGCGUCGAUCAGUAGCGGGUCGGAGAGGAGGAUCCGCCAAAAUGGGACUGAGAAACGGCCCAGACUCCUACGGGAGGCAGCAGUGGGUAAGAUUGCGCAAUGGGGGCAACCCUGACGCAGCCAUGCCGCGUGAAUGACGAAGGCCUUCGGGUUGUAAAGUUCUUUCGGUGACGAGGCGUUAAUCACAGAAGAAGCACCGGCUAACUCCGUGCCAGCAGCCGCGGUAAUUC